rnacentral:rRNA from 1 species
CAGCCGCCGCGGUAAUACGUAGGUCCCGAGCGUUGUCCGGAUUUAUUGGGCGUAAAGCGAGCGCAGGCGGUUAGAUAAGUCUGAAGUUAAAGGCUGUGGCUUAACCAUAGUACGCUUUGGAAACUGUUUAACUUGAGUGCAAGAGGGGAGAGUGGAAUUCCAUGUGUAGCGGUGAAAUACGUAGAUAUAUGGAGGAACACCGGUGGCGAAAGCGGCUCUCUGGUCUGUAACUGACGCUGAGGCUCGAAAGCGUGGGGAGCAAACAGGAUUAGAUACCCCGGUAGUCCCUGUCUCUUAUACA